GGGCGUCGUAGGUGUCCGCCCACAGGUUCUCCUUUCUGCGGCUGGAGAGCUCUGGAAUACUUGGUGCCUGGAGAGAUCAGAAGAGGGUAUCAUAUCUACUGAGACUGGAAUCAGGGAAGAUUGUGAGCCACCAUGUGGGUGCUACGACUCAAACCUGACUCCUCUGCAAGAGCCACGAGUGCUCUAAACCAUGGAGCCCUCUUCAUCCCCAACUUAGGUGAUUUUUAACAACAAAAGAGGAACAUCUUUUUGUAAGAUUUGGAAUAGCUACUUCUGAUAGAUUCAGCGGAAGCAGGAUAGCAUUUGAAGACCCAGAGAACACAAUCACAAAUGUGGCCCCUAUGCCUCACUAAAGAAACUUCUCAUUGCAACAGCUAAUCAUGGGUGCUCAGUCCCGGUGGACACAUCUCCAACAUAGCUACAGCCCAGUGAACAUUGCAGAAGAUGAGGAUUACAUGAGUCUGGAGAUCAGGGAAUCUGUUAUCGGUUUGUGACUCCUGGAAAUGACAGGAAAGCUACGUCUGUGAUACCUCAAUAGGAUGGCUGCCUAAAUAAGACCUGAGCAAUGACAGUACCAAUAAACACGCUAAUGUAGAAAU
rnacentral:lncRNA from 1 species